rnacentral:rRNA from 1 species
UACGGGGGGGGCAAGCGGUUGUUCGGAAUUACUGGGCGUAAAGGGCUCGUAGGCGGCCAACUAAGUCCGACGUGAAAUCCCCAGGCUUAACCUGGGAACUGCGUCGGAUACUGGAUGGCUUGAAUCCGGGAGAGGGAUGCGGAAUUCCAGGUGUAGCGGUGAAAUGCGUAGAUAUCUGGAGGAACACCGGUGGCGAAGGCGGCAUCCUGGACCGGCAUUGACGCUGAGGAGCGAAAGCCAGGGGAGCAAACGGG